GUGCUCGCUUUGGCAGCACAUAUACUAAAAUUGGAAUGAUACAGAGAAGAUUAGCAUGGCCCCUGCACAAGGAUGACACGCAAACUUUCUGCGUAUAUCCUUAACUCU
ensembl:snRNA U6 U6 spliceosomal RNA